rnacentral:tRNA from 1 species
AAGGUUUUAAGUUAAUUUAAACUGUUGGUUUUCAAAAUCAUUAAUAUUAUAUUAUUAAAUCUUG